rnacentral:rRNA from 1 species
UACGUAGGCAGCGAGCGUUGUUCGGAAUUACUGGGCGUAAAGAGUGUGUAGGCGGUGCUCUAAGUUCGGUGUGAAAUCUCUCGGCUUAACUGGGAGGGUGCGCCGGAAACUGGAGUGCUCGAACGUGGGAGAGGAAAGCGGAAUUCCUGGUGUAGCGGUGAAAUGCGUAGAUAUCUGGAGGAACACCGGUGGCGAAGGCGGCAUCCUGGACCGACACUGACGCUGAGGAGCGAAAGCCAGGGGAGCAAACGGG